GAUGAACGCUGGCGGCGUGCCUAAUACAUGCAAGUCGUGCGGCAGCGGGCCCUUCGGGGUGCCGGCGAGCGGCGGACGGCUGAGUAACGCGUGGGAACGUGCCCAAAGUGAGGGAUAACUCCGGGAAACCGGAGCUAAUACCGCAUAUGGUCUUCGGAUUAAAGCUUCGGCGCUUUGGGAGCGGCCCGCGUCUGAUUAGAUUGUUGGUGAGGUAAUGGCUCACCAAGUCGACGAUCAGUAGCUGGUCUGAGAGGAUGAUCAGCCAGACUGGAACUGAGACACGGUCCAGACUCCUACGGGAGGCAGCAGUAAGGAAUUUUCCACAAUGGGGGCAACCCUGAUGGAGCAACGCCGCGUGAAGGAUGAAGGCCCUCGGGUCGUAAACUUCUUUUGUUAGCGAAGAAUAUGACGGUAACUAACGAAUAAGGGUCGGCUAACUACGUGCCAGCAGCCGCAGUAA
rnacentral:rRNA from 1 species